GACGAACGCUGGCGGCGUGCUUAACACAUGCAAGUCGAGCGGUAAGGCCCUUUCGGGGGUACACGAGCGGCGAACGGGUGAGUAACACGUGGGUGACCUGCCCUCAGCUCUGGGAUAAGCCUGGGAAACUGGGUCUAAUACUGGAUAUGACUCCACGGUGCAUGUCGUGGGGUGGAAAGCCUUGUGCGGCUGAGGAUGGGCCCGCGGCCUAUCAGCUUGUUGGUGGGGGAUGGCCUACCAAGGCGACGACGGUAGCCGGCCUGAGAGGGCGACCGGCCACACUGGGACUGAGACACGGCCCAGACUCCUACGGGAGGCAGCAGUGGGGAAUCUUGCGCAAUGGGCGAAAGCCUGACGCAGCGACGCCGCGUGAGGGAUGACGGCCU
rnacentral:rRNA from 1 species